rnacentral:rRNA from 1 species
GCGGUGGAGGAUGAGCUCGCGGCCUAUCAGCUUGUUGGUGGGGUAAUGGCCCACCAAGGCAACGACGGGUAGCCGGCCUGAGAGGGUGACCGGCCACACUGGGACUGAGACACGGCCCAG